UCGGGAAUCUUGGACAAUGGGCGCAAGCCUGAUCCAGCCAUGCCGCGUGGAUGAUGAAGGCCCUAGGGUUGUAAAAUCCUUUCGUCAGGGACGAUAAUGACGGUACCUGAAGAAGAAGCCCCGGCUAACUUCGUGCCAGCAGCCGCGGUAAUACGAAGGGGGCUAGCGUUGUUCGGAAUUACUGGGCGUAAAGCGCAUGUAGGCGGGUCGUUAAGUCGGGGGUGAAAGCCCAGAGCUCAACUCUGGAACUGCCUUCGAUACUGGCGACCUGGACCCAAGGAGAGGCGAGUGGAAUUGCGAGUGUAGAGGUGAAAUUCGUAGAUAUUCGCAGGAACACCAGUGGCGAAGGCGACUCGCUGGACUUGUGGUGACGCUGAGAUGCGAAAGCGUGGGGAGCAAACAGGAUUAGAUACCCAAGUAGUCCCUGAGCGGGCUGGCAAGGCGCAU
rnacentral:rRNA from 1 species